UCGGUAAGAAAACAAACAGUCGAUAUAUCUCAGAUAAUAAGGAUUUGAAGUUUCUACCCGGUCCCGUAACAGACCGGACUAUCGGCAACUGAACCGGUCAU
rnacentral:ncRNA from 2 species